rnacentral:rRNA from 1 species
CGGGUGAGUAACGCAUGGAUAAUCUACCCUUAAGAUGGGGAUAACGGCUGGAAACGGUCGCUAAUACCGAAUACGCUCCCGAUUUUAUCAUUGGGGGGAAAGAUGGCCUCUGCUUGCAAGCUAUCGCUUAAGGAUGAGUCCGCGUCCCAUUAGCUAGUUGGCGGGGUAACGGCCCACCAAGGCAACGAUGGGUAGCCGGUCUGAGAGGAUGACCGGCCACACUGGAACUGGAACACGGUCCAG